AGGUAACGGUUCACCAAGGCAAGGAUGCAUAGCCGACCUGAGAGGGUGAUCGGCCACACUGGGACUGAGACACGGCCCAGAUUCCUACGGGAGGCAGCAGUAGGGAAUCUUCCGCAAUGGACGAAAGUCUGACGGAGCAACGCCGCGUGAGUGAUGAAGGCUUUCGGGUCGUAAAACUCUGUUGUUAGGGAAGAACAAGUACGAGAGUAACUGCUCGUACCUUGACGGUACCUAACCAGAAAGCCACGGCUAACUACGUGCCAGCAGCCGCGGUAAUACGUAGGUGGCAAGCGUUAUCCGGAAUUAUUGGGCGUAAAGCGCGCGCAGGCGGUUUCUUAAGUCUGAUGUGAAAGCCCACGGCUCAACCGUGGAGGGUCAUUGGAAACUGGGGAACUUGAGUGCAGAAGAGAAAAGCGGAAUUCCACGUGUAGCGGUGAAAUGCGUAGAGAUGUGGAGGAACACCAGUGGCGAAGGCGGCUUUUUGGUCUGUAACUGACGCUGNAGGCGCGNAAAGCNGUGGNGGAGCNAAACAGNGAUUAGAUACCCNUNGGUAGUCNCACGCCNGUAANACGAUGNAGUGCUANAGUGUUAGAGGGUUUCCGCCCNUUUNAGUGCUGCAGCUAACGCAUUAAGCACUCCGCNCUGGGGNAGUACGGUCGCAAGACUGAANACUCAAAGGAAUUGACGGGGGCCCGCACAAGCGGUGGAGCAUGUGGUUUAAUUCGAAGCAACGCGAANGAACCUUACCAGGUCUUGACAUCCUCUGACAACUCUAGAGAUAGAGCGUUCCCCUUCGGGGGACAGAGUGACAGGUGGUGCAUGGUUGUCGUCAGCUCGUGUCGUGAGAUGUUGGGUUAAGUCCCGCAACGAGCGCAACCCUUGAUCUUAGUUGCCAGCAUUUAGUUGGGCACUCUAAGGUGACUGCCGGUGACAAACCGGAGGAAGGUGGGGAUGACGUCAAAUCAUCAUGCCCCUUAUGACCUGGGCUACACACGUGCUACAAUGGAUGGUACAAAGGGCUGCAAGACCGCGAGGUCAAGCCAAUCCCAUAAAACCAUUCUCAGUUCGGAUUGUAGGCUGCAACUCGCCUACAUGAAGCUGGAAUCGUUAGUAAUCGCGGAUCAGCAUGCCGCGGUGAAUACGUUCCCG
rnacentral:rRNA from 1 species